UCAGAUUGAACGCUGGCGGCAGGCCUAACACAUGCAAGUCGAACGGUAGCACAGAGAGCUUGCUCUCGGGUGACGAGUGGCGGACGGGUGAGUAAUGUCUGGGAAACUGCCUGAUGGAGGGGGAUAACUACUGGAAACGGUAGCUAAUACCGCAUAACGUCGCAAGACCAAAGAGGGGGACCUUCGGGCCUCUUGCCAUCAGAUGUGCCCAGAUGGGAUUAGCUAGUAGGUGGGGUAACGGCUCACCUAGGCGACGAUCCCUAGCUGGUCUGAGAGGAUGACCAGCCACACUGGAACUGAGACACGGUCCAGACUCCUACGGGAGGCAGCAGUGGGGAAUAUUGCACAAUGGGCGCAAGCCUGAUGCAGCCAUGCCGCGUGUAUGAAGAAGGCCUUCGGGUUGUAAAGUACUUUCAGCGGGGAGGAAGGCGAUACGGUUAAUAACCGUGUUGAUUGACGUUACCCGCAGAAGAAGCACCGGCUAACUCCGUGCCAGCAGCCGCGGUAAUACGGAGGGUGCAAGCGUUAAUCGGAAUUACUGGGCGUAAAGCGCACGCAGGCGGUCUGUCAAGUCGGAUGUGAAAUCCCCGGGCUCAACCUGGGAACUGCAUCCGAAACUGGCAGGCUUGAGUCUCGUAGAGGGAGGUAGAAUUCCAGGU
rnacentral:rRNA from 1 species